rnacentral:lncRNA from 1 species
AACCUAACAAAUUUGAUCUAUCACUAAGUCCUUGUACAUGUGUUCCUUUGAAGGAAUUUACAUAUAAUCAUGACUAUUAACUUUCAACAUCAAAUUUUAAAUAUGCAAUCUCCCCCUAUUUGAUGUUGACAUAACAAAGGAGAUUUGUAUCAUGAUUAUUAAUUUCUAGAUGAAGUUGCUAGAAAGUAAAUAUGACUUAGUGUUUUAGUGAGC